CCUACGGGGGGCAGCAGUAGGGAAUAUUGCUCAAUGGGGGAAACCCUGAAGCAGCAACGCCGCGUGGAGGAUGAAGGUUUUCGGAUUGUAAACUCCUUUUGUUAGAGAAGAUAAUGACGGUAUCUAACGAAUAAGCACCGGGUAACUCCGUGCCAGCAGCCGCGGUAAUCAGGAGGGUGCACGCGGUACUCGGAAUCACUGGGCGUAAAGAGCGCGUAGGCGGGAUAGCAAGUCAGAUGUGAAAUCCUAGGGCUUAACCAUAGAACUGCAUUUGACACUGUUGUUCUAGAGUAUGGGAGAGGUAGGUGGAAUGCUUGGUGUAGGGGUAAAAUCCGUAGAGAUCAAGAGGAAUACUCAUUGCGAAGGCGACCUGCUAGAACAUAACUGACGCUGAUGCGCGAAAGCGUGGGGAGCAAACAGGAUUAGAUACCCGAGUAGUC
rnacentral:rRNA from 1 species